rnacentral:rRNA from 1 species
GAUGAACGCUGGCGGCGUGCCUAACACAUGCAAGUCGAGCGAAAAGACCAGGUGCUUUCUCCUCUGACGUUAGCGGCGGAUGGGUCAUGAACACGUGGAUAACCUACCUAUAAGACUGGGAUGACAUUGGGAAAACUAACCUAAUACCGGAUAAUAUAUUGGACCGCAUGGGUCAAGAGUUAAAGACGCUAGUUCGGCCCCUUGUAGAUGAACCCGUUCCGGAUGAGAUAGUUGGUAAGGUAAAGGCUUAGCAAGGCAACGAUGGGUAGCCGACCUGAGAGGGGGAUCGGCCACACUGGAACUGAGCCACGGUCCAGACUCCUGCGGGAGGCCGCAGUAGGGAAUCUUCCGCAAUGGGCGAGAGCCUUACGGAGCAGCGCCGCGUGAGUGAUGAAGGUCUUCGGAUCGUGAAGCUCGGUUAUUAGGGGAGAACAAAUGUGUACGUAACCAUGCCCGUAUUGACGGUACCUGCAGAAAAAGCCCCGGCUAACUACGUG